rnacentral:misc_RNA from 1 species
GAUUUUGUUUUCUUUCAGAUUUGGUAACGUCAAGUUUGUGACUACUUCUAAAAUGUAUAAAUGAAAAGUGAGUUGUGGUUCAUAAGUUGUGCAUCGAUAAUAAAAAGAGACAAAUAAAUCAGAAAUCGUAUAAAUAUUUGUUUGAAAAUAUAUUGGUGAAGAGAGCAAGUGAGAUUAAAGGACAAUGGAGGCGAUAGCUAAACAUGAUUUUAAUGCUACUGCUGAUGACGAAUUAAGCUUCAGGAAACAUAACAUCUUGAAGGUUCUGAACAAGGAGGAUGAUAUGAACUGGUUUAGGGCAGAGCUAGAUGGUAGAGAGGGGCUCAUACCUAGCAAUUAUAUAGAAAUGAAACCGCACAGUUGGUACUACGGACGCAUUACAAGAGCAGGAGCAGAGAAACUUCUUAUGAAUAAACACGAAGGAGCAUUCGUAGUUAGGGUCAGUGAGUCUUCACCAGGCGACUUUUCUCUCAGUGUGAAGUGUGGGGACGGUGUUCAACACUUUAAAGUACUGCGGGACGCACAGGGGAAGUUUUUCCUCUGGGUUGUCAAGUUUAACAGUUUAAACGAACUCGUUGAGUACCAUCAUUCCGCUAGUGUUUCAAGAUCUCAGGACAUUAAACUGAAGGAGAUGGUUCCAGAAGAGUUUUUGGUUCAGGCGCUGUACGACUUCACCCCUCAGGAGCACGGGGAGUUGGAGUUCAGACGAGGUGACGUCAUCACCGUGACCGACAAGUCGGACCAGCACUGGUGGACCGGCGAGCUAGGAAACCGGCGCGGACUCUUUCCAGCUACAUACGUCACACCAUACCAUACGUCCUAAAUAUCAUUGUACAAUUGUGCGCUCAGAUCAGCCAUUUAUGUAGAACUGUAUGCGGUGUACAGUUGAACUUUAAUUUAGUCUCCCACCUUCGAGCCCCAGCUUUUAUUACAAAUUUAUGAAUUUGAAAUAUAGAUUUAAAUUGUUACAAAUCAAAAUGAAUUGACUAAUAUCUCCAGA